GUUUGUAGGUGUUGGUGAAGGUGUACAAGACCUUCAACCGUUUGACGCGGAGGCAUUCGUCAAUGCCAUAUUUUCAUGAGAAAUAUGGUUGGUGAAGUCAUCAAAUUACCUGGAUUUUAUUCAUUUGAGACCAAUUCGGCCAAUACGCCAGGCUUCUGGAUGCAUAUUGUUGCAAGAACUCUGUCACAAGAGUACUUGUUGGGCCUGCAAGCUGGGAUUAAACAGGUGGUUCAGAUGCUUU